rnacentral:lncRNA from 1 species
UGGACACAAAAAGAAGCAAGCAGCUUCUUCUUCAAAGAGGGGCUGCGCAGCAGAGACGCAAGGACAACUCCUUCCCCAUUGUUCUGCUUCAUCUCCAAGCGACCUAUCUCUCUUAAAACCUUUCGCAGCUCAACGCCACACACCCUCCCUUGAAACUUCAUCACCGUCGCACCCCACCACCCCUGAAACCAAACGGAGAUCUCUUCACUCAUGCCAACCACCACAGCCGAUGUUCACGAGUUCCUCAUUCAAGCUGUUGCUUCGCCGGAACUGAUCACCAGCGAGUGACAAUGCCCCUGGCACGGGUCUGGCCAUAAACUCCAAGACGCAGCCACGAUUCAAUCACUCAUACAAAAAAUUAAAAUACUCUGUUUUGUUCUUGCAUUUUCAUGACUCUCGUCUCAAAAAUCAGAGGCAUCGUUUUCUGAUUUUUGUUCCAAAGUGGAGGUGAUUUGAGAUCGUGUACGGUUCAAAAUUUCUUGUACUAAUUCAAGGUUUAAUCGAGGUGCUGUCCGUUGGUUUCCGGUUAGAGGUUCGUCAUGGUCGAUUUUGGGUCCGUUGAAUUGCAUUUCUGGUUUAUUUUCCGCAUUUCAAGUAUGUGCUUUUGAUUCAAAAUGUUGUAAAUGUGGCAGGAUGAUCUAUUGCACUGAAAUAUGUAAUAAUUAUU